CCUACGGGAGUCAGCAGUGGGGAAUAUUGCGCAAUGGGCGAAAGCCUGACGCAGCGACGCCGCGUGAGGGAUGAAGGUCUUCGGAUCGUAAACCUCUGUCAGCAGGGAAGAACGGUCACUGUGCUAAUCAGCAGUGAAUUGACGGUACCUGCAAAGGAAGCACCGGCUAACUCCGUUCCAGCAGCCGCGGUAAUACGGAGGGUGCGACCGUUAAUCGGAAGUACUGGGCGUAAAUCGCUCGUAGGCGGUAUGUCAAGUCAAGGGUGAAAUCCCCGCGCUCAACGUGGGAACUGACUUGGAAACUGGCAAACUGGAGUGUGUGAGAGGAUAGUGGAAUGCCAGGUGUAGGAGUGAAAUCCGUAGAUAUCUGGAGGAACAUCAGUGGCGAAGGCGACUAUCUGGCACAUAACUGACGCUGAGGAGCGAAAGCGUGGGUAGCAAACAGGAUUAGAUACCCUAGUAGUC
rnacentral:rRNA from 1 species